rnacentral:lncRNA from 1 species
CUUGCUGAAAUUUUAGUUUUAAUGCUUAAAAUCCUUAAAAAUGAAAAGUUCUAUAGCUAUUCCCUAAAUGCAUUAUUGAAAUUGCAUUUUUUCAAAAUGGCUUUGUUUGCAAAACUAAAGAGGAGAAAACAUUAAAGAAAAAAUAAUUAGUUAAUUAAAAAUAUUUUUGAAUUUAAAAAUAUAAAUUUAAAAUUUAGAGAAUCUAGAUUUAAAGAUUAAAUUCAUGUUAAAUAUGCUUAAUUUGAAAGAAAAAAGUAAAGAAAAUUAAAAAAAUAAAAUUAUCUAGCAAUAAUUAUGAAAAAUAGGGGGGGA